UAUAAAAUAGUGUAUAUGCAUGAAGAAUUUUGAUUUCUUAGGCUUCAGGUUAAUUCUGUAUUUUAUAA
rnacentral:tRNA from 1 species